rnacentral:rRNA from 1 species
AUUGAACGCUGGCGGCAUGCUUUACACAUGCAAGUCGAACGGCAGCGCGGGGCAACCUGGCGGCGAGUGGCGAACGGGUGAGUAAUACAUCGGAACGUACCCAGAAGUGGGGGAUAACGUAGCGAAAGUUACGCUAAUACCGCAUACGUUCUACGGAAGAAAGUGGGGGACCUUCGGGCCUCAUGCUUUUGGAGCGGCCGAUGUCGGAUUAGCUAGUUGGUGAGGUAAAGGCGCACCAAAGCGACGAUCAGUAGCUGGUCUGAGAGGACGACCAGCGACACUGGGACUGAGACACGGCCAAGACUCCUACGGGAGGCAGCAGUGGGGAAUUUUGGACAAUGGGCGCAAGCCUGAUCCAGCAAUGCCGCGUGAGUGAAGAAGGCCUUCGGGUUGUAAAGCUCUUUUGUCAGGGAAGAAACGGCUGAGGAUAAUACCUUCGGCUAAUGACGGUACCUGAAGAAUAAGCACCGGCUAACUACGUGCCAGCCGCCGCAGUAA